rnacentral:rRNA from 1 species
CAGCCGUAAACUAUGCUCGCUAGGUGUCAGGCAUGGCGCGACCGUGUCUGGUGCCGCAGGGAAGCCGUGAAGCGAGCCACCUGGGAAGUACGGCCGCAAGGCUGAAACUUAAAGGAAUUGGCGGGGGGAGCACAACAACGGGUGGAGCCUGCGGUUUAAUUGGACUCAACGCCGGACAACUCACCGGGGACGACAGCAGUAUGUAGGCCAGGCUGAAGACUCUGCAUGACUAGCUGAGAGGAGGUGCAUGGCGUAGACGUCU